AAACUUUUGAAUGAAAUCAAACGAAAGACACGAACUAACACGAACCAACGAGAAUAAUCUAUCAAUAAGAACUCAAUAAGAAGAGAAAAGAAACCUGAACGAGAACAUAAACCUGACCGGAGGGAAAACGAUUGACAGGACUAACGUUAAAUCAAAUGGAUUGAAGACAUCCAGAAGACAAAACUUCAAACAGAACUGCAACUUUCUGAACUGCCUGUACUGCAUCGAAUGCUGGCUUCGGUCAGGUUUUUUAUAGUGGAUAAAAGAUCUGAAUUGAUGGCGAGCCUCCCAGAAUC